rnacentral:lncRNA from 11 species
CAAGGGGGCAGAAUUUAGUGGGGAAGGAGUUGAAAAGCUGCCUCAUAGCUAUGGCGUCAGAAGAUAAGGGCCCACCGAGGAACUGGAGCCAUCAGAGGGAGGACCAGUUUGUUCCUUCCUUCUGGUUUACAGCAAAAGAAUUAAAUAACCCAAUACAGAAGACUGAAGAGCUCUAACCAAUUUGUCUUGAAUGACAGCAGCGGCAGCACAGGUACAGGGAGCACUGCUGUGCCAGAACAUCAGUUUGCUGAGGACAGUUGCACGAUCCUCUAAGUGAACCAAUUCCAAGUCACCCUGGCAAACUGGACUAGAUACCAUGCUGCAGACUGAGCGCUGGAUUACUUUGCUCACAAAUACUGUCAAGAUCUAAAUUUCCACAAUACAGGGGAAUCAAGAAUCAGCAUCCACAAUGUAUUAAGAAAAUGUCC